rnacentral:rRNA from 1 species
AUUGAACGCUAGCGGGAUGCUUUACACAUGCAAGUCGAACGAGGGGCGGACGGGUGAGCAAUCGAUCGGAACGUGCGCAGUAGCGGGGGAAAACUACUCGAAAGAGGGGCUACAACCGCAAAAUAUUGGUGCGGCCGAUGUCGGAUUAGCUAGCUGGUGGGGUAAAGGCUCACCAAGGCAACGAUCCGUAGCAGGUUUGAGAGGACGACCAGCCACACUGGGACUGAGACACGGCCCAGACUCCUACGGGAGGCAGCAGUGGGGAAUUUUGGACAAUGGGUGAAACCCGGAUCCAGCCAUCCCGCGUGUAUGAGAAGGCCUUCGGGUUGUAAAGUACUGUUGGCAGAGAAGCGGUCUCUGCCCAAUAAGCACCGGCUAACUACGUGCCAGCAGCCGCGGUAAUUC